rnacentral:rRNA from 1 species
CCUACGGGUGGCUGCAGUGAGGAAUAUUGGUCAAUGGGCGCGAGCCUGAACCAGCCAAGUCGCGUGAGGGAAGACGGUCCUAUGGAUUGUAAACCUCUUUUGUCGGGGAGCAAAAGACGCCACGCGUGGCGUUCCGAGAGUACCCGAAGAAACAGCAUCGGCUAACUCCGGGCCAGCAGCCGCGGUAAUACGGAGGAUGCGAGCGUUAUCCGGUGCUAUUGGGUUAAAAGGGUGCGCAGGCGGAAGAUCAAGUCAGCGGUAAAAUUGAGGGGCUCAACCUCUUCGAGCCGUUGAAACUGGUGUUCUUGAGUGAGUGAGAGGUAUGCGGAAUGCGUGGUGUAGCGGUGAAAUGCAUAGAGAUCACGCAGAACUCCGAUUGCGAAGGCAGCAUACCGGCGCUCAACUGACGCUCAUGCACGAAAGUGUGGGUAUCGAACAGGAUUAGAUACCCUUGUAGUC